CACGCCUUCCCUCUUUCUCCCUUUGCUGUUGCUGCUGAGGUUGAGCAUUUGCAAAGUAAGAUUGUUGUUGGUUCUUAAUUAAUCUCUCAACAUCUUCAACAGAACCAGGGAAUGUAAGCUGCUUCACUUCUUUAUCUAACUGUCUUAUCACAUUGUCUUCAGAACCUUUCAAUUUUCAAUAAUUUCCAAACAUAACAAUAUGAGUUAGUAACGCCAAAACCAAAGUCAUAAAGCAAAUAUUAUAAUUUACAAUUAGGUAUUUGUGCCAAAAGUUUAAUUUGUUGCCACAUUGGCUUCGUCCAAAGAUAUAGUUGGUGAUUUGGCGAUCAAUUUUAUAACUGUGUAUCUACCUUUUAAAUAGCAUGUUUAGAUUAAAUUAAAAUAUAUUUAAUUAUAAACUUUGAAGUUGAAUAAUGUUUAUGGUACCUGCAAGGAAAUUCCUCUGGUUUUCAUCAGCAUUGAUGCCAAAUCCAAGCAAGCGAAGAUUUGAGGAAGCGUUGAUGGAAAUUGGAUGACCUGCUGGAAUUACGAAAAUGUCACCUUCUGAUAAUUUAGCAUUGUACCUUCUCACUUCUUCCUGUUCUUGCUCAUCUUGUUGUCGUUCUUGAUCUCUUAUACCCACCAGUUCAUAAUUUCCUUCUCCUUCAUCAACCACGACUACAAAUAUGGCCUUUGAGUUAUAGUGUGGUAACAACAAACCUCCCUAACAUAAAAAAAUCAAAUCAUUAGUAAUAGUAUUGUUGUCUAAGACACAACACCAGUGAAUAAGUUCAAGGAAUUGUGUGUAUUGUUAUUUGGGGUUGGAUGUAAAUAAUGUACCUCGUUAAUUUCUAUGAAGGUGAGAGAGAUAUCCAAAUCCUGAGCUUGAGGGUUUCUGUCUGGGGUGAUCUCGUAGAAGUUGCCAAACUUGUUUGAAUAAAUGGGUUCAUCGCUUCUCAAGUUGAAGGGGCCAGAUUCAGAUGGUUUGCCUUUUCCUGAUGAUGAUUGAGCAUGUUUUCUCAAUUCUUGGAUCUGUUCCUUUGACACUCUCACUAUCACCCCCUCAUCUUGGUGGCUCUGCUCUUGUCCACGACUUUGCUCCUCAUCUUCCUGCCCGUCCUCAUUUCCUAAAAUAAUCCUUUGUAUCUCUUCAUAACGGGUCUAUAUUUGAAAUCCAAACAAACAAAUAUGUGAUCAUUAGUACAUAUACUCAAUAAAUAAUUGUGCAACCAACGCAGAUCAGAUGUCAUACAUUGAAGGUGGCCUCUAAAGUGUUCCUACUGAAGCCGUUGAAGUAAGACUGUUGGUCUUUAGUACUUGAUGGAUAGAAAUCCUAUAAAUAUACAAAUAUAGAGAGAAAGGAGGAAGAAAUUAAAAUUACAUGGUGUUAAAUAUGCAAUGGGUGCAUAGAAAAUUAGAUGAUAUAAACAUAAAAGAUAAUAUGAUUGGAGAAAGAACAUUACAUAGAAGUUGCCAGGGUUGUUGAUGGGUAUUGCGAGCUUGACUACUCUAAGGUUCUGGUUGUCAUCCGGGUUAAGGAUAUAAGAAGUUGUUCCAGCUGGGAGUCUGAGAGCAUCUCCAUGCUCAAGGUUAUAUGCUUGUCUUUUAUCAGGGUUGACUAUCGUGAUUGUCGCNNNNNNNNNNNNNNNNNNNNNNNNNNNNNNNNNNNNNNNNNNNNNNNNNNNNNNNNNNNNNNNNNNNNNNNNNNNNNNNNNNNNNNNNNNNNNNNNNNNNUAUAUAAUUAAAAAUAAAUUGUUGCAUAAAUAACGUACAAUACUAGUGUACGAAUAAUGAUAUUUGUUGAGCUGUUAAGGUUAUACCAAUACCUUACAUAUAAGAUUCAGUUAUAUAUGAUUGUCAAUCACGUGGUUACUAGGUGUGAAUUAAAGAUCCGAUUAAACAAGAUUUGGUCAUAUAUGAUCAUUGAUUACUAGAAUUUCUAACUUAACUGUGUGAAAGAACGAUAUUGGAAGAACUAUUUCUAAAUAUUUGUAUGAUACAAAUUAGAUAAAAUAGCAAAUAAUCUAUAUAAUGAAUGAUACACAUACUUCAGUGGGACAAAGGGGGGAGUAAACUUUACACUAACAACUCAAGGGUACAGAGAAUUUUAAUUUAGUGAUCAAGUAUUAAAUUAUAGCUGUGAUGAUAAGUUAUAUAUACUAAUUUUUUUAUAUAUUUACUUCCAACUUAUUGAAACUUGAGAAGUAUGCUUACAUUUAGAGAUGUAUAGUUAUUAGUCAUAAGUGUCAUCAAAUCGGUCAGAGUAAUAGUAUAGUGGUAUAGUGGUUCAACCGAUGGUUCAUUAAUUAAUUUUAUGUCGGUUAAAUCCGACAUACAUGCUUAUCUAUACAAUCUUUAAUAAAAAAAUUAACUAGGUAAAUACUCAAAUUUAAAAUUCAUGUUCUUAGUCUACUAAGAAUACCCAUAGAUAAACAAUUUUAACAAACAAAGUCUGGCCCAUCUUCCAUUGAUGCAAAUCAACUAAUUGAACAAAUAAAAGAACUAAGUAAGGAAGACGCACUUUACAAUAACAAUUAAAAAUCCUAACAUGUAAGGUAAGAAGAAAGAGAGAGAUGAUUUAAGGCGGGAGAUGAUAUAAACACACACCUUAAUGGGCAAUGACUUCAACUCUACAAAGAAUUGGAUGGAACGAAGAUGAUAGGUCGGUGGAAGGGACUGGACAAAGAUGAUACCUCGGGGAAGCCUGGAACUAUAAAAGAAAUGAAGAAGGGUUGAAGAAGUGUGAACAGUGGAAGGAGAAAAAUCGAAUAAGGGUAGAAGAAUUGUGAACCGUGUAGCCUAGAACUUUUUUGAAAACCCUACUUCCCUAAAACGACGCCAUUUAUGGUUAUUUUUUAAGAAUAAAAUACAUGUAUAAACCGGCUAAUUUAGUCAAAUUUCGCCUGGUUCACCAGUUUUGAUCAAAUUCGGUCGGUUUUCACUGGUUUUGGUACUUGGUUAGUAUAACAACCAUACUGUAUCGGUUAGGGGUUCGGUUCACCGGUUCUUCGAUUGACAUGGACGGUACGGUUUUUACGUUAUGGUUUGUUAAUGAGAUGGGGAAUAAGUAUUUUAACAAUCAAAAAUCAAAAUUAUAAAAGGUAAAUAAUUAAGUUUAUUUCCUAAUAUUUGGUGUAUCUUUCAAUAAUUAUAUUAAAUUCGUUUUCGUACUAACUUAAGUGAAGAAAAAAAUUAAGUAAGAGAAAACUUGUAAUUGUUUAUAAAUGUUAGGGUUGCAAUUUGUUCACCAAGUAAUAAUCAUUAAAGAUAUAAUGUUGUAUUUGUGGCUGAUGGUUGUUAAAGUCUAGGUUAUUUUAUAGAAACUUUUUAUUGCCUAAACGUUGGGGUGUAAUCAUUUUGAGACUGAAAUAGACAAAUGGAAUGUCAUAUUACUAUAUGAGAUGCUCAAGUUUUAAUUUCCAUGUUUUUUUUUUAAAUUAUCAUAUGAAAGAUUAUAAAAAAUAUUGAUAUAUUUUUGUACGUUUUAUAUUGACAAUGCUUUUUUAUUUGGGUUAUUCUAGAUAGAAGGUGUUGGUCUAAUAUUGUAAAGCCUCAUUAGAUCCUCAAGAUGACUAAAACGUCAAUGAUUCGAUUUAUGUAAGCGAAAUUUGUUGGCAGGGGCAGUCAUACACACCAAAAGAGAUUAGUUUCUUACCCAAGGGUGAAGGGAUACCGUUUUUAGUACCCAAAAAAAUAAAAUUUGUCUUGUGGACAUCUUACUCUUAUUUAUAAAUGUAUAAUAUAUAAUUACAUUUUUACUUCUUCCAUAUCAUAAAUAUUUCAUAAAACAAUUCAUAUCAACAUAAUUAUUUCUUAAAUUCUUUUGCUUAAUAUUUUUUACCAUUGUGAUCUAGUGUUAAUCUUUUAUAAUUUUUCAAAUUUAUUUAAUAAAUGCAUAGACACAUUUUCUUAAUAUAUAUGAUAGUGAAUUAAAAAAUCAAAUAAAAUUAAAUAAAACCUUUAGAUGAUAAUAUGAGAUAUUAACUAUGAUACUUCUACACAAGAAACUGAAAAAAGCUCAAGGGCUUAUGAUCUGAGUUAUUGUCUUGGAUUCAUUUUGAGAAUUAAAAUAAUUUAGUUGAGAAGUGUGUGAAACUCUUAUUUUUUAAGUGAGAAGUAAAUGCAAUAUCAAUGAAGGAGUGCAAUAAAAUAAAAGAGAAGAAGAUAAAAUACUUUAUUAAUAGGGUUCUGAUCAAUUUUGUAUACGUACCUAGAAGCGUACAGUAGUUAUCAAUAUAUAUUUUUAGAGAAUAAGAAUUACAAGUUCUAACAAAUUCAUGGGCAUAAAAAACUCAUAUGGUGUUUCUAAUUUGUGCAAGUUAUAAUAAGUAUCUUGAGCCUAAUAUUUAACAUUGUUUCUCUUAUUCUUCCAAUACUAGGCAAUGUUUUACUUAUUACAAUAAUAUAUUUCAAGCAUCUCCAACAAUAUCAACCUUGAUUGAAAUAGACUAAUAAUUCAGUCUUUAGGAAAUUUAUACAGCAAUCUUCACCUUAGUGAAUAUUUUAUUCCUUAAUAAAUAUACGCAACAAUCACCACCUUAGUGAAUAUCCAACUCCAUAUUACGCAAUGACUAACUCUUUUUAUGAGCUCCUCCAUUGGACUUCUUCCACAUGUGAGAAUGCUCAUCUUCAACAUAAGUCGAGUAUCCUUUAUGAUAUUACCAAGAUUUAAGUUGUCCCAACUCAAAUUUUGAUGGAGAACCAAUUUCACGACUUCGGAGUAUGGGGAAAUAGAUUCCUUUUCUACAAAAUGAUUUGGAGUUGUCACUACAUUUUUUUUAUCAGAAUAUAAAUUUUUUCUUUAUACCCAAAUAGAAAACAAAUAUGAUUAUUGAACUAAAGUUCAAAGCUUGGGAGUCAAUUACAGGUCGGGAAAGGUAUUCACACCACAUCUGAUCGUAUUAAAACAAUAGCCAUGCUAACUAGAUGGAUCCUUAUGCCCCCGGUUUAUUUUUUAAAAUAUUAAUUACUAAAGAAAAGUAGUAUUUUUUUUACCUAAGAAGAGCUUAUUUGCUUUAAUGCAUCCUCAUGUUGUAAUAUGAAAAUCAAGACAACAUUGUUCAUGGCUGAAAAUUGAUCAAUGGAUUUGUAUAAAUUUUAUUAAAGAAUUAAUAUAAAAUUAAAGGAGGUCAAUAGCAUAAGAGAUUGUAUUAGUUGUAAACCAACAUCUCAAUUUGAGAGGUAACAUAGAUAGUAUUGAUAACCGCAAUUGUUUCUCUACAUAUAUAAGAAAUUAAGAUACCACAUGAAUAUCAAACUCAUUAUUAGAUUCCAAAAACGGUUUAUCGAUUUUCAUAUAAAAAACUCACAACCACACAAAUUUCUUAUCAUAACAAUGGUGAUUUUAAGUUGUUUUACUAUAUACUAUAUAUUUCCAUUAACAAUAUACAAAUCCUCAUUCCAUUUUCCAUUAUAUAAUUAACAUAACUAAGUUAAUUAACAUGGUCAAGUUCCUUAUGCAUACUCAAGUCAUUGCAGCUUUCUUCGCUGUCAUUCUACUUCUAGCACAUAUUGAGAUGUGUCCUAUAUUAAGUAUUAACAUAGAAGCAUAAAUCAAACCCAAAACCAUGAAUAGUUGGUUAUCUCAGAAUAAUUGUUUAACAUCAGCAUCAAGGUAUGACACACCGACAUGGUGGUUGUCUUUUAAAUAGGAAAAGUCUCUUGUCUCCGUCUAACAUCAGCAUCAAGCAUGCUACCAAAUUCCAAUAUAGGGAUUUAUAUUUUGAAGAAUAAUUAUUAUCAUUGAUAUAUUAUACCUUAUUUUUUAUUAUAUUUUUUAAUGUCUAGGUAAAAUGACCGAAGUGGUUGAGAACCUGGAUACUAUCAUUCAUGAAGUAGUAAUCACUGAUGAUGAGGACUAUGUGGAGGAAAUAGAUGAGAGUGAAAGUGAGAGUGAGGAAGUGAAUGAAAGUGAAGGUUUGGAUAGUGGAAAUGACAACGAUGGAUUUAAUAACUAUGAUGAAAAACUAGAUUUUUGUGUGGGGGUUCAUUCAGAUGAUGAUUUAGUUGAAAUUUAUGUUGAGAGAAAGGUGGUUGGAGAACAAUUUAAACUCCAAUCUGAUGGUAAGGUGAAACUUCAAACCAAUAUGUUACUAUUGUUAGAGAAACUUCAAACCAAUAUGUUCAUAAACGACUUACCGGCUUGAGCUACUAUUGUUAGAGAAACAAAUCCUGGGAGUAAAGUGACGAUGGAGUUUGCAAGGGUCACAAUUGAUAGGAACCCACAAUUUAAACGAUUAUUUGUAUGUCUUGGUGCAAGGAAAAAAAGAUUUGUUAGAGGUUGUAAGCCUUGGUUUAGAAUUGAUGGAUGCCAUUUAAAAGGUCCUUAUGAAGGAAUUUUACUUGCUGCAGUUGCCCUUGAUGGAAAUAAGGGUAUAUUUCUUAUUGCAAUUGUUGUGGUAGAGGUGGAGUGUAAGGAUUCAUGGAGGUUUUUUCUCACCUUAUUAACUGAAACUUUGCACACUCUACCAAAAUGGAAGGAGAAUAAACUAACCAUUAUGUCAUAUACACAAAAGGUUAGUGUGUUUAAAUUAUAUAUCUCCCUAUAGUGAAUAGAUAAUGUCUCUCUAAUUAUUGCUCUUCAACUUAAUUGUUGUAUAAAAAGAACAUGUUGUGAGAAAUGAAGUAAUUCAGGAUAGGAUGUUAUAUGUUUUUUUUUUUAUAUUUUGGUUUAAGUUAGAGAUAUUAAAUGAUUCUUUAUUUGAAUUUCAGGGCUUAAAAGAUACAGUUAGUGAGAUAUUUUCAAAUGCACAACAUAGGUAAAUGAUUAAUUAUAAUCUUAUAUUGUUAAUAUUUUAAAAUACUUUAUUAAUCACUACUUGUUUUUGUUAAUAGGUUUUGUUGCAACCACUUGUUGAAUAACUUCAAGCUUCGAUUCAGGUCUUUAAUACUAACAACAGAGUUUUGGGCGGUUGCAAUGGCUUAUAAUGAAACCAUGUUUAAUAAAGCCAUUGCUACUAUGAGAAGAAUAAAAAAUGAUGUUCUAGAAUGGUUGCUAGAUGUUGAUAGGCAAGGCAUACAAUUGAUCCAAUCUGUAAAAGUGAUCAUGUGACCAACAAUGUGUGUGAAGUGUUUAAUGCAUGGAUUGUAGAUGAUAGAAAGAAGACUAUGUUGUCUAUGAUGGAGUCUAUUGUGUGUAGAUUAAUGGGAACAUUUGAAAGAAGGUUUGCAAAGGGUUGUGGUUUUGAGCACAACAUAACUCCUAAUAUUCGGAAGGUUUUAAACACUAACAUGCAAGAUGGGAGGUUCUGUACAAUGACUUAGUUUACUUAGUUUGCCAUGUUUUACUUCUAUGUAUCUACUUAGUGUUUACCAUGGAGUGCUGGUUAUAUAGUUAUGGAACAUUUAAUUUCUAUAUGUGUAUGUUAAUUUUACAUGCUUAGUUAGUGUAUAUAAUGAUGCGGUAAUUAUUAAUAUAUUUUUUAUUGUUCGUUUUUAUUUUAUUAUUUCAAGCAAAUGAUGAUGCAAGUAUAUGUGAUAUACCUUUCAGUGCAAGAGAAUUAUACGGUGCCAACAAAAUUUAGGAUAUUUUUUAUGUAUUUUGUUUUUAAAAUUUCAUAUGAGACUACUUUUAGUUUUUUUCUCCAGAUUUUAUGGUGUAUUUGGAUUUAUAAUGAAACAUGAACCGUAACUCUUUCAACUUUGUUAUGUUUUUUUAGUUAUUUGCAAUGAAAUUUUAUUAUUGCUAACAAAAUUUGGAUUUAGUAUUGUAAGUUUAAAUAAUUAUUAUAGAUUAAUGAGAUUAAAGUUAUAAAAAUUAUGAAAUGAAAUUGAGGUUAAAAUCCUCUAGAAACAUAUAAUAGUUACCUUCCUGCAGGUUUCCAUAUAUAAUUUCGAGUAGUGAAGAUUGAAAAUCUCCACAAUUAAACGAUCUUAAAUAGUGAAGGUUUAAAGCCUUCAUGCUAAAUAAUACAAAAAUCUCCUCAAAUAGUGGAGGUUAAAAAACUCCUCAAAUAGUGGAUGUUAAACUAAUGAAUGAUGAUUCAUUCCUAAAUAAAUACAUUUAAUACAAAUAUUGAUAAUAAAUGAAUAAAUAUAUUGAAAGAAUAAACUAAUAAAUACGAUGUUACUAUUAAAGACAUAUUACUAAUAUGUUAUUAUCUAGAAAACUAAUUAAUAUAUAUUACACAUAAUUUUCAUUAAUUUCUUAAAUAUAGGUAAUGGAUAGAAUAUAAAAAUAGUCAUAAUAAAUACUAAAUAGAUUUUGAUGAAAAAGAAAGGUUUGAGUUAGGUUUAUUUUAUAAAAUAAAUUAUGAAAAAAAUUUUUUUAGGAGGUUGAAUAAGUUAAAUGAUAGAAAGGUUUUUUAAUUAAAAAAAAUAAAUAAGAUACUACAUUGGUUGUUAAUUGAUGUUGCAUCCCAACUUUCAGUCAAUCAUCAGUUAUAUGACAGGUUUGGAUCCACCACUAUAUUUUUGCGGUCAAAAUAAAGAAAACAUUCUUUAAACCCACCUUUAAGGAAUAUGUUGUCUCACAUGAUAGGAUUUUGCUCCUACGUCUCCCUCUCGGCAAUAGAGAAUCAAGACUACCUAGUUCUUUAGUAGAAAAUAGUUUGUUGGUUGAGUUUAUAUUAUUUCUGAAUAGGAGAAGAUGUUUUAAUUUUAAUAUGGUGUCCAUAAUUAAAUGAGUAAAUUACAACCAUAAUGUAUGAUAUCGCAUUUCAUAUUAAGGAGGUAAAGCUUAACCAAAAUCAAUAUUUUUUAAUGUUUAAAGGUUUUUUAGAAAGGUGAUACACAAAGGAAGAGAUUAGCUGCAAAAAUAAUUAAUCGAUCCCAUUAGGAUUCUCUAGUGUUUCUCUCUAGAACUUUUAUGUUACUCUCUGUUUUCUGGAAUAUUUUGAUGUGUUUUCCGGUUUUUUCACUUUGUCAAGAAUGCAAUACCUCUAUUUAUUGGAUGGACUUCACAUAUGCAUAAAAUAAAAGUGAAUCACUUUCAUUAAUGCAUCGAAUCAAUUAAAACAUUUUAUUGGGUGUAAGAUUGUUUCUGAGAUAUCUAGAAAUAUCUCUUAAUAACUUUAUAAAGUCAUAGAAUAUUAUGGUGACACUCAUAUUAAUUCGGCUUUAAAAUUAAAAGUGUCCCAAAUGCUCUAUUUUGGGUAGAAAUUUCAUAACAAGUUCAAAAGGAAAUCACAAAUGUUCUUUUAUAAAAUGGGAUCUCUCCAUUAAUAGGUUAAUAAAUUCAUUAAGUCACUUAAAACCCUUUUUGAUUUUAUUUUAAAAAUAAAAUUAAAAUUGGUGAGAGAAAUUAAUUUGAAAUAAUAUCCUUGUAAAAAAAAUUAAAAAUUGUAUCCAAUAAAUCUUGAAAUAGUAUCCCACCAUUAUUGAGUCAAAUAAGUGAUCUUUAAAUACCAUUGUUUAUUGUAAAGAAAAUCAAAAGUUGGGAGGGAAGUUGACUUAGAUGGUGUAUCUAGUCAAUUUAUUCACAUUAAGUCAUUUAAACCCGUUUUUUAUAUGAGUGUAAAAUAAAAAUUUAUCCUUUUUAUUUGUUGUUUACCAUAAUAGCGAGCAAAUUGAAGUUUGAAAGAUAUCAUGUCAGGUAACUAUUAAGGAAUUGAACACUGAUUUUGUCAAGGUUAAAAGAACUUACAUAUUCAAACUUUAGAUGCCUCGUAGUGAGGUUGAAACUAGUCAACGAUGCAGACUGAAAUACAGUAACCAUUAGUUUUAUGUAGUAGCUCGGGAAGCUUCUGGAAUGGAAAUCAUCAAUUUGUUGCGGCAGUUCUAGAAUCUGCUGAAAGGGAAACCAUCAAUUUUGUGACAUAGUCUGAGAAUCUUCUGAAAAAUGAAACAAUCGAUUUGGUGAAGGAGUUUGAGACUAUGCUGAAAGGGAAACCACCGAUUUGAUGAAGUAGUUUGAGAAUCUACUUAAAGGGAAACCAUCGAUUUGGUGAAGCAAUUAGAGAAUCUUCUAAAAGGGAAACCAUUGACUUGGUCAAGUACAUCGAGAAUCUGCUGAAAUGGAAACCAUCAGUUUGGUUAAGUAGUACGAGAAUCUGCUAAAAGGGAAACAAUCGAUUUCGUGAAGCAUUUUGAGAAUAUUCUGAAAGGGUAACCAUCUAUUUGGUGAAGUAGUUUGAGAAUCUGUUGAAAAUAAUGAACCAUCACUUUGGUGAAGCAUUUUGACAAUCUGUUGAAAUUAUAACCAUUGAUUUUGCGAAGCAGAUCGAUAAUCUACUAAAAGGGAAACCAUCGAUCUAGUGAAGCAUAUCAAGAAUAUGCUAAAAGGGAAACCAUUGAUUUUGUGAAGCAUGUCGAGAAUCUAGGAUAGAGAAACUAUCGAUUUGCUGAAAAAAUUGAGAAUAUGGUGAAAGGGAAACCAACAGUUUGAUGAAGUAGUUCGAGAAUCUACUGAAAAGGAAAUCGCUGAUUCGAAGAGUCAGAUCGGGAAUCUAUUGAAACAAGGCUUACGGGCGUCUCAACAUCAGAGUGUGAACAUGAUGAUAAACGUAGUUGAGAAAGGGAUGGCCCCACAUUGUCUAGGCCAAUUAUAUAUGUAGUUGGGAUGUGAAGAUGCAUGUAUUGAUGUUUGAUUAUUUGUGGAUAUGAAAUGACUUGAAUAUAAAUUUUCUUCUAUAUUUUGUAUGAGAUGAGUAUACAAUAAAGGGAAAGACUCAUACACAAAUAUUCUAAUGUAUCACUCUUGAUUUAUUUUUUCUUGGGAUGGAAAUCAUAAACCUUUGUGGAUUUGACUAAAGCAUCCAUUUAUGAUUAUUUUUUUUAGCAUGAUUGAAUGACAACUUGUCUUUCUUAAAAGUGCUUUAGUUUGCUUGAGGAGACAUUUCCAUUAAAGUAAUUCAUACAAUGUGCCCUAGUGCCGUCUUGAAUGACUAAACUCACAUAUAUUGCUCUAGCGUAGGUUGGCUGAGAGUUUCUUUCAAAUGUGUUUGAAUCAAAAAUUUAUCAUUGUGCCUAUUUUGAACUUUUGACUUCAACUUGGAUGCCAUUAUUCAGAUUCUCCAUAAAGAUGCCCCAAUUUGGGAAAUUAAGGAUAAGGGGUAGUAAGCCUUCACAUUGAGGUGCACAUUUAAUUUUCCUUAACUUUUAUCAAGAAUACCUAGUGUAUGUGCUUGUCGAGAAUUUUCUCAUUUAUUAUCAUCCUUAACCACCUUUUCAUUUUUUGACUUAUAAUCACUCUCCUUUUCCUAGAUUGCUCAUGUGGGUUUUCAACCUAGCACACAUUUUUUGUUUUUUUUCUUUGAUUUUUACUUUUUACUUUCUUUAACACCGUCGACUUGGUGGCCUCAUUUGAUAGUAAGUAGAAGUCUUGUGUUGGUCAUUGUUGGAGUUGUUCUUCACAAUCAUAACAUAGUAUCAUUCACUUCUUGGUUGAUAGAUUAUCCAUUUUCUAUUAUUGGCAUGACUUAUAAGGCCAUGGGAAGCAACUCCGUACUGCCUCAUUUUUUGGCUUCUUGUAACUUUUCACUAGAAAAAUGGGAACACCCCAAAAAAAUGGCCCAACAUGGAUACAAGGAUUUAUCCUUCUAUUCAAAUUGUCCUGAAAUGAAAAAUUUGGAAGGACUUAGACAAUGAAUCAUCUCAAAAUAUGCCCUAGUUUGAAAGGUUUCCAUGUUUCUUUUACUUUAGAAGUCUUUAUUGUAUGCACAACUCUUUAAGAAUAAAUAUUAAAACAAUGAUCAUGCAAACUUGACAAGUGUUUGGAUUAUGUGUGGUGAUACGAUAAUGAUUAUAAAAUUUAAUUUUUGUUUAAGCUUUUGUAUAUGUGUUGUUUAAUUUGUAUGUGGUUGCGAGUGUUGAUAUGUUUAUGAUGAAUAUAAAAUGGAACUUGUGUUUGGGUUUUGAAUUUUGUUGAUGGUGGUGAUGGUGAUGAUGAGAACCCUAUAAGUUAACGCAUAAGGAACGAUUAUGAUCUCCAAUGUACCAAAUCACAAAUAGUUUUCACCUCUCCCCAUCAGAGAGAAAAUGAAGCUCCCAAAAAAAAUAAUGAUUUGGUUGAGGAAGCGCAUCAUACCAAAACUCUCUGAAAAUGUAUAUCAAAAAAGUAGAUCAGAGAACAUGGAUUCAGGUAUAACUUUGUAUCAUAGUUCUAUAUUAUGUAUGAGAAUCAUGAGAUUCAAGGUCCUAGGAUUGGUAUUUCACCAAUCAUUAGGAAAUAUAUGACAACUAGUAUCAAAUCUUUAGGUUCUGAAUUUUAUGGUUCUCCAUUAAAGAUGUUUUUACCAAAUUUUUUUAUAAACCCUAAUUUUUUAAAUUUGGGGAUUUUUAUGCUUCUGCUCUUGGUUAUGGGAAUAGUGUAUUUAUGAAUAAUGACGAUAACUUUUAUCCGCUUCCGCUUAUUUGAACUAUGAGUUGUUUGUAUUAUGAAUCCUUACAACAUGUGUUGAAGUAUAUAUUUAGAUUUGUGCAUGAACAUUGCAUUAACUUUUAUGACUCUAUUAUGCAAUAUGUAUAUUAUAGGUGCACUAGUGCCUUACUGUUGGACAUUGACUUUUUCACUUUAUAAUUUUGCAAUUGGCUGACGUAUAUCUAUAAGGUAUAUAUGAGUUAAGUUGUGAUUAUCACUUAUACAUAUACGAUAUGGAAUUCAUUGUCUUGUAUAUAUAUUAUGAAUUAAAAUAUACAUAUAAAAAUUGUAAUUGUUUCCAACUUGAGGUUGUUGUGAUGUUUGAAAUUACUUAUAAAAGUUAAUAUAUAUAUAUAAAAUGGUUACAAUACUUAAAGUUAUAUAUACAUUUACUAUGUUAGUGUGUGAAAGUGUAUAUACAUUGUACAUAUAUGUUUUAAGAUAUGCAUGAUCAUAUUCAAUUUGGAAUUUUUUAUAAUGAUUUGCAUAUAUCUUUUUAUGCUUUUCACUCUAGAUCAAUUUUUUAUUUUAUUAAGAUUACAUCCAUUUUUAUAUGUUGAUAUAUAUGCCAUAUAUCUUUUUUGAUUUGGAAUUAUAUUAUUGGAUUAGAUUUGUUAAUCAUAAAAGAUAUUAAAUCUGAAGGUUUUAAUUCCAAGAUCAUAAUUUAUUUUAUAAUGGACCUAUAUUGUUUUCCUUUUCUGUGGUAAUUAUUUUUGAAAUAAUUGGUGCAAUUGUUGUCAAAGUAACCUUUAUCGUGGAAAUUGAUAAAUAAUACAUAGAUGAGUAUGAGAUUAUUUAUGAGAAUUGUGUUUUGUCAAGUAAUAACAUACAUGUGAUGAUAAAUAAGUAACAAUUAUAAAGUUUUUUUCUUGUGAAUAAUAGUCGAUCCAAAGAAAGACUAUUGUUUGACAAAACUAAUUGUUAAUAUUUGAUCAUUACGUUGAGAGUACCACUUACAAAUUAUUUUCUCUGUCCGAAGACUAGAAAUUGAUGUUGUGCUAGGUAUCUUGUGACGAGUCUAUUAUGUGAACAUGUCUUGUUUUAUAUGUAUUACCUGAUUUGUUUGUUUAAAUGGUUGCAACACUUACGGUUUUUUGUAUUAGUUGGUAGCUGAUUGCAUUAUUAAGAGGUUGCUAUUGUUGAAACACUAUUUCCAUUUGAACACUGUGUCGUACUAUGUUUAGUCAUGUAUAAAAUGGUAAUAUAUUUUUAAUGGAAAAUUAAAAAGAACCAUCACUGGAAUUUGAAAAGCAGAUCUUUGUGAUGGAAAUUAUGCAAUGCUACCAACAGGCUAUAGUGUAUAUAUUAUAUAUAUGUGGAUAUAAAUAAUUCAUAUUUUGGAUUAAGUGUUGAAUCAAACUUAGUUAAAUGGUUUUAAUGAAAUUGUUUGACAUUUUAAGUGAACCUAUUAAAUAAGAAGUCGCCAAAGUGACAUCUUUUCUAUGAAUUGUUCAUAAUAAAUGUCAAAUACUAGUGUGAAUAAGUAUCUAUGCGAGUAUUAAUUGGCUCAAAUGAAGAUUAUUAUUUGGUCGAAUUAUAUACAUACAUAUGAUGGUAAACAUGUGACUAUUUUAAGGUUGAAAAUGUGAAUGAUAAAUUAGUCUAAAGAAAGAUUGAUUAUUUGACAUGCAUUAUGAUUAAUGUUUAACCCUAACAAACAAAUAUCAUUAGUGAUUGAUAUUAAAUAUCAAGCCAAAUGAAUGUUUGCAUUUUAUGUGACUAGUGAUCAGCCCAAAGGAAUAUUAUUAUUUGGCCCAAAUUACAAACAUACUUGUAGUAAUAAUAUGUAAUAAUCAUAUGCCUUUCCAUGUGAAUAAUAAGUCGAUCCAAAGAAUAGCUUAUUGUUUGAUAUGACUGAUUAACAAUGUUCGAUUACUAUAUUGAGCGUACCACUUAUAAGUUAAUAUUUUUAUCCAAAGACUAAAUAUUAAUGUUGUGUUAGGUAACUCAUGAUGUGCCCCACCAUCAUUUGAAUUUAGGUUUUAAAGUUGAAUGUGAGUUUAAUUGCAAGAAUGGUUGCAAGAAUGACUACAAUUUGUUUUGUUCUUUUACUAGUGCUACAAAUAUUUUUGUUCAAAUCGAGAAUAUCUCAUUGUUGAAUGGGACACACAUUAAGGUCUAUAAGGAAGCCGUGGAAAUUAUUCUCGGCUAUAUGGAUUUAGAUCUGGUACUUCAAGUGGAGGAAUCCAUUUCAACUCUGUAAAUCCUCGAUGAGGUUAAAAUUGAGAAAUUGGGAUUCUCUUAUCGUAUGUGUCUAAUGAUCAUGAAACAAUAUAUUCUAGAAGUGUUUCAGAAUUCUAUUUUUGAGGGUCAAAGUGCAAGGAAGUUCCUUCAAGAAAUAGAACCAUACUUUUGCAAAAAUGAGAAGGCGGAGACUAGUAGCUUUUUUGGGUGAAAUCAUCUCCAUGAAGUAUAAAAGCAUAUGGAACAUAAGGAAGUACAUUAUGGAGAUGCCUAAUCUUGCAUCAAAACUCAAGUCACUUAAGUUAGAGCUGGGUGAUGACUUGCUCGUGCACUUGGUUUUGAUCUCGCUUCCUGCACACUUUGGGACAUUCAAAGUGAGCUAUAACUCUCAAAAGAACAAAUGGUCUCUCAAUGAGUUUAUAUAUCAUUGUGUCCAAGAGAAAGAGAGGUUCUAGAGAGAUAAGACUGAAAGUGCUCAUUUGGCUAUGACCACUCAGAAUAAGACAAGAACGAACAAUAUGGAUGUUGUGAAAGAGUUAUUUGUGUUUUUCGUAAGAGAUUGUGGAUUUGUUCCGCAAUACACUAUGCCAGACAAACCUAAAAUAAAAGGUGUUGUUGGCCGAUGAAAAGAAACUCUUAAGGAUAUGGUGAGAAUUAUGCUUAGUCAUUCUUCCACACUAGAGUCUCUUUGGAGGGGAAAAACCGUUAAUAAGACCAAGCUUAAAACAUUACACAUUUGGGGUUGUUCAGCUGAGGACGGCCUUAUAGGCCACAAGAAAGGAAACUCGACUCAAGAACAGUUAGAUGUUAUUUUGUUGGCAAUGUUGAGCGCUCUCGAGGCUAUAAAUUUUACGAUCCUACUUCAAGAUGUUUUUUUUUUUGGGACGGGAAAUGCAAGAUUUCUUGAGGAAGUUGAUUUUGGGAAGGAAGAGAACAUAAGGAAUGUUAUCUUUGAGGAAGAACAUGUCACUUGUAGUGAACAAGUUCUUGUGUCUAUUACCAUUCAAGGAACCACUUUGGUAAUAGAAGAUAAUGUUUAGGAUAUUGUUCCUGACAAUAUUCUAGAACAAGACAACAAUGAGGUUCUCUCUCAAGUACCUAAAGAAAAAAUUCAACAACCUCAAGAAGUAGGGGUGCCAUUAAGUAGAUCCACAAGAGAGAGAGGAUGUGCAAUUCCUGAUGAAUAUAUUGUAUUUCUUCAAGAACAUGGGGAUGACAUCGGGAUAACAUAAGAUGAUCGAUUGAAAAAUUGUCAAGACAUGAAAACUUCUAACUCUCAAAAGUGGAUCAAUGUCAUGAAGAAUGAGAUGAAGUCUAUGCAUGAUAAUAAUGUUUGGGAUAUUGUCGAAUUAACUGAUGUUGCGAAACCUAUUGAUAGGACAAAUUGCAAGUGGACGGUUAUAUCGUCAUGUAAUAAAAUAUCGAUCCCACGAGGACUAGAAAAUACUUUAAUUAUAACAAUUAAUUUAUAUGUAACUCAAAGAAGAAUUAUAAGUGAAUUUAGAACAAUUGAACAUUUGACAAGAAUAAUAAUGAAAAUAUUAAAAAGGAUUGAAAUCUAAUUUAGGAAGAGUUCCUAGGAUAAGGGUUUACCCCUUUACACUCACAAAUCCUUCUUUUUCUCCUUUUAAUGAACUUUAAGUUGUGAGGUUGAAUUGCUCUUUGAUAUGUGUCAUCCUCUCUCGAGCACCUACUCUCAUGGUAUGAUUAUCAAUUGAAUCAUUUACUUGGAUCUUUCUAUCCAAUCGCUUCGUAGCAAUCCAAGGUGAAUUCCAGAAAACCUUGAGAAUCGUAAGACUACUCUCCUGAAUUAGGAUUCUAGAUUGAAUAACUGAGUGAUCGGAUAGUUGGGUUCACCUCUCGGUCCUUCCCCAAUGUAUCUAAGAGAUGUAAUUUGUUGGCUAGACAACUCACACUAAUAAAACUCAGUUUAAUGAUUCAAAUCCAACACUCAAUGGAAAAGAAGUAAGAACAGUGUUUAUUGAAUGUAAAAGGGUGUGGAUCCAAUCCUAGAAACAAAGGGAAUUACUCACUCAUAAUGGAGAAGAGAAUACAAAGUUCUAAAUUAGAGAAUUGUAAUGUAAAGUAUAAAGUGUAAAGUGUGCUUAAUCCUUGAGGGAGAACCCUCAUUUAUCCUCAUUAAAAAAUAUUGGGCUCAACCCAACAAAACAAAUCUAAAAAAUAGGAAUAGAAUAUAACAUUCACGACUUCUUUUGGCCCUUCAAUUGGUCUUCGCAUAGCCUCAAUACUGAAUUUCAUCUUCUUGCACCCAAUCUCUACUCUUUUUGGCUUCAUUCCAUCCAAAUUGCACAACAUAGCCAAAAACACAUACUCAACCUGAACAAAGAGAAUUAAAAGCUAGAAACAAUCCUAUAGUGUUAAUUAUGUCCUAAAAUGCAAUUCAAAUAUAGCAUAAUUUCACACGCAUCAAAUCCUCUCAAGCUUAUCUCUUGCUUAUCCUCAAGCAAGUAUUAUGUCUAUCUUUUACAAUCACGCAUGAAUGAUGAUAUAGAAACCAUGACCCAAAAUAAUUAGCAAUCUCAUGUUAGUUUUGAAACAAUCUAGACAUUAAGACAAAACAAUCAUAAACAAAUUUAAUUCAACCUAAGUCUUUGAGUCAUAACAACUGCAUGAAUUGGGUCACUCUCCUCUCAUUACUCUCAUGUGUUUAAAGGUCAGUAUUUCGCUCAAAUUUUCAUGAAAGUAAAUUACCAUAGGCUUGAUUAUAGACCAAAUCGCACUAGAUGUAUUUGAAUGCAUGCAAAAAUUAAGAGGUCUUUAAAUGGUUGUAAUGAGGUCAAGGUGAAUGAUUUAUGGUGAGAUAAACAAAGAAAAGGUACUUCAAAAGGCUUACAAAUUAUGUUAAGAAUUUUGGAAUGGUGCAUAGAAAUGUAUUACACCAUACUUAAUUAGAAAGGAACUUCGUAUUUUUUAUGACUUCGCUACUGUGUAACUAUCCAUUUAUUCAGCAUCUCAAUCAUUUCUAAAAAGGGAUGAUAAUAAAUCAACCUUGAACAGAGUGUAGGAAAGGCUUUCUUACAAUGCUUCUAUUGUGAGAAAGGAACUUUGUGCUCUUAGUACUCGGUAAUCAUCCUGAUGUUUUGCAAUUUAAUUAUGAAAACAUUUUGUUAUUUAAUCAUCGUGAUAUUGAUAAAUCAUUUUUAACGGGUGUGAAGAAAAUGUUUUGUUAUGAUACUUUUAUUGUGACCAUAGACCAUCAACCAUUACUUAUUAUCACUAUUCACUUUCCUUGUGAUUAAACUUUCUCUUGAUUUGCAUAUACAGAUGGAAACGAGUCGAACUGACUUGAACUAGAACUCAGCUCGAUAAGGAUCUGCUCAAUUUGAAACUGAACUCAAGUGUGAUAAGGGUUAUUUUUUAGCUCGGGUUUAACUCGUUUAAGUUCACGAAUUGCUCAACUCAACUUGAAUUGGUUCAUUUAUAUAACUCAAUUAAUAAAUAUAUUUUUAAAAAAAAUAUUGCAUAAGGUUAUAUAUAUAUAUAUAUAUAUAUCUAUAAGUAAUUUGUUCACCAAGUGAGAAUCAUUAAAGAUAUAAUUUUGUUCAAUUUUAAGAUUUGUCUAUGAUGGAUGUGAAGCCUAGGUUAUUUGUUUAGAAGAAUUUUGAUUGCCUAAAUGUUGGGGUGUAAUCAUUUUGAGGCUGAAAUAGACAAAUGGAAAGUCAUUAUACUAUAUAAUAUGAGAUGGGCAAGUCUCAUUUUCCAUAUUUUUCAAAGUUAUCAUCGAAAAGAUUAUAAAUGUAUCGAUACUAUUGUACAUGCUUUUUUUUACUUGGACUAUUCUUGAAAAAUAGACACCAUCUCGUGUACUUCUUAUUCUUAUAUUUAAAUGUAUAAAAUAUAAUGAGAUUUUGAUUUCUUCCAUCACAUUUUUCAUAUAACAAUUCAUAUCAACAUAACUAUUUCUUAAAUUUUGUUGCAUAAAAGUAUUUCAAUUAAAAAAAUAAAAUAAAAUAAAAUAAAAUAAAAACUUUGGAUUAUAAUAUGGGAUAUUAACUAUGAUACUUCCAAAUAAGAAACUAAAAAAAGCUCAAGGGCUUAGGAUCUGAGUUGUUGUCUUUGAUUCAUUUGGAGAAUUAAAAUAAUUUAGUUAAGAAGUGUGUGAAACUCUUAUUCUUUUAAGUACGAAGUAAAUGCAAUAUCAAUGAAUGCAAUAGGUAUAAUAUAUAAUAUAUAAUUAUAUUAGUUAAAUUACAUAAGAACAUAUAGAUUGAUGAAGGGCAUUGCAUGUAAAACUUUCAAGGUAGAUUUUUUUAUUAAUAAUAGUACAUAGGUAAAACUCUAGUUUUAUUAAUAUAUCGUGGCUCACUAUGAGCUCUUACAUGAUAGUAGAUAGCAGCUUAGUAAAGAGUGAUCUAAAUGGAAAAGAUAAGACCCCUUCUUCCACGCCUUCCCUCCUUCUCCCUUUGCUGUUGCUGCUGAGGUUGAGCAUUUGCAAAGUAAGAUUGUUGUUGGUUCUUAAUUAAUCUCUCAACAUCUUCAACAGAACCAGGGAAUGUAAGCUGCUUCACUUCUUUAUCUAACUGUCUUAUCACAUUGUCUUCAGAACCUUUCAAUUUUCAAUAAUUUCCAAACAUAACAAUAUGAGUUAGUAACGCCAAAACCAAAGUCAUAAAGCAAAUAUUAUAAUUUACAAUUAGGUAUUUGUGCCAAAAGUUUAAUUUGUUGCCACAUUGGCUUCGUCCAAAGAUAUAGUUGGUGAUUUGGCGAUCAAUUUUAUAACUGUGUAUCUACCUUUUAAAUAGCAUGUUUAGAUUAAAUUAAAAUAUAUUUAAUUAUAAACUUUGAAGUUGAAUAAUGUUUAUGGUACCUGCAAGGAAAUUCCUCUGGUUUUCAUCAGCAUUGAUGCCAAAUCCAAGCAAGCGAAGAUUUGAGGAAGCGUUGAUGGAAAUUGGAUGACCUGCUGGAAUUACGAAAAUGUCACCUUCUGAUAAUUUAGCAUUGUACCUUCUCACUUCUUCCUGUUCUUGCUCAUCUUGUUGUCGUUCUUGAUCUCUUAUACCCACCAGUUCAUAAUUUCCUUCUCCUUCAUCAACCACGACUACAAAUAUGGCCUUUGAGUUAUAGUGUGGUAACAACAAACCUCCCUAACAUAAAAAAAUCAAAUCAUUAGUAAUAGUAUUGUUGUCUAAGACACAACACCAGUGAAUAAGUUCAAGGAAUUGUGUGUAUUGUUAUUUGGGGUUGGAUGUAAAUAAUGUACCUCGUUAAUUUCUAUGAAGGUGAGAGAGAUAUCCAAAUCCUGAGCUUGAGGGUUUCUGUCUGGGGUGAUCUCGUAGAAGUUGCCAAACUUGUUUGAAUAAAUGGGUUCAUCGCUUCUCAAGUUGAAGGGGCCAGAUUCAGAUGGUUUGCCUUUUCCUGAUGAUGAUUGAGCAUGUUUUCUCAAUUCUUGGAUCUGUUCCUUUGACACUCUCACUAUCACCCCCUCAUCUUGGUGGCUCUGCUCUUGUCCACGACUUUGCUCCUCAUCUUCCUGCCCGUCCUCAUUUCCUAAAAUAAUCCUUUGUAUCUCUUCAUAACGGGUCUAUAUUUGAAAUCCAAACAAACAAAUAUGUGAUCAUUAGUACAUAUACUCAAUAAAUAAUUGUGCAACCAACGCAGAUCAGAUGUCAUACAUUGAAGGUGGCCUCUAAAGUGUUCCUACUGAAGCCGUUGAAGUAAGACUGUUGGUCUUUAGUACUUGAUGGAUAGAAAUCCUAUAAAUAUACAAAUAUAGAGAGAAAGGAGGAAGAAAUUAAAAUUACAUGGUGUUAAAUAUGCAAUGGGUGCAUAGAAAAUUAGAUGAUAUAAACAUAAAAGAUAAUAUGAUUGGAGAAAGAACAUUACAUAGAAGUUGCCAGGGUUGUUGAUGGGUAUUGCGAGCUUGACUACUCUAAGGUUCUGGUUGUCAUCCGGGUUAAGGAUAUAAGAAGUUGUUCCAGCUGGGAGUCUGAGAGCAUCUCCAUGCUCAAGGUUAUAUGCUUGUCUUUUAUCAGGGUUGACUAUCGUGAUUGUGGCUCUACCUGCAAUUCCAAAAUAAUGAAUGUAACAAAUCAUUCAUUCUCAUUAAUUAAUUGGCAGAAAUGAUUACUACUAGUAGUAAGUAAGGUUUUAAAUUUAGGUUAGCGACCUCAAUUUAAAUCCUUGAUAAUAGUUACCAUUGAGUACAACGAGGAUGUAGUCAGCAUCAGAGUGUUUAGGGAGAAUGAGAGUGUUAGGUUUUGAUUGGAACUCCACAAUGCGGUAGUUUUGGAGAUUCUCAAGUCUAUUGGUUCUCUGGUCAAACCUCUCAAGCACACGGAUUUGGCCAUUCCUAUUUCUGUAAAGAGUUUGGAAUCUUUCAGAGCUGAAGUAAUAAGGGUUCCUCUGUCUGCGUGAGUCUGAGCGAGAACCUUGCUCUUGCUCUUGUUCUCUCUCUUCCCUCUGUUCCCUCCUCUCAUAACCACUUUGCCUACGUGAGCUAGAGCUAGAGCCUUGCUCUUGCUCUCUCUCUUCCCUUCUACUUUGAGGUCGUUGUCUCCUCGGUUGCCACUCUUCUUCCUCCUCUCUCCUUCCAUGUUGAGGUUGUUGUUCUUGCUCCCUCCCUCUACUAGGUUCUCUCCUUUGUUCACGCUCUUCCUCUCGGCUUUCUUCGCUCUCGCUCCUACCACGUGAUGGCUCACGAUUACGCUCCUCCUCUCUCCCAUGCUCUCUUUCUUGCUCCUCCUGAUGGCGAGGGCGUGGUUGUUGUCUUGGGUCACGCUCCUCUUGUUCUCUUUCCUGAGGCCUCUCAUGAUUCUUUAUUGCAUUUUUUUCUCCGUAAGCAAUACCGAUUGACACUGCCAUGAGGAAUACUAUUCCUAGUAGCAACACUAACGUUGGAAACUUCACUCUCAUAUUAGCCAUAUUUUAUUAUAUUAGAUUGCACUCGAUGAUGNNNNNNNNNNNNNNNNNNNNNNNNNNNNNNNNNNNNNNNNNNNNNNNNNNNNNNNNNNNNNNNNNNNNNNNNNNNNNNNNNNNNNNNNNNNNNNNNNNNNUAUAUAAUUAAAAAUAAAUUGUUGCAUAAAUAACGUACAAUACUAGUGUACGAAUAAUGAUAUUUGUUGAGCUGUUAAGGUUAUACCAAUACCUUACAUAUAAGAUUCAGUUAUAUAUGAUUGUCAAUCACGUGGUUACUAGGUGUGAAUUAAAGAUCCGAUUAAACAAGAUUUGGUCAUAUAUGAUCAUUGAUUACUAGAAUUUCUAACUUAACUGUGUGAAAGAACGAUAUUGGAAGAACUAUUUCUAAAUAUUUGUAUGAUACAAAUUAGAUAAAAUAGCAAAUAAUCUAUAUAAUGAAUGAUACACAUACUUCAGUGGGACAAAGGGGGGAGUAAACUUUACACUAACAACUCAAGGGUACAGAGAAUUUUAAUUUAGUGAUCAAGUAUUAAAUUAUAGCUGUGAUGAUAAGUUAUAUAUACUAAUUUUUUUAUAUAUUUACUUCCAACUUAUUGAAACUUGAGAAGUAUGCUUACAUUUAGAGAUGUAUAGUUAUUAGUCAUAAGUGUCAUCAAAUCGGUCAGAGUAAUAGUAUAGUGGUAUAGUGGUUCAACCGAUGGUUCAUUAAUUAAUUUUAUGUCGGUUAAAUCCGACAUACAUGCUUAUCUAUACAAUCUUUAAUAAAAAAAUUAACUAGGUAAAUACUCAAAUUUAAAAUUCAUGUUCUUAGUCUACUAAGAAUACCCAUAGAUAAACAAUUUUAACAAACAAAGUCUGGCCCAUCUUCCAUUGAUGCAAAUCAACUAAUUGAACAAAUAAAAGAACUAAGUAAGGAAGACGCACUUUACAAUAACAAUUAAAAAUCCUAACAUGUAAGGUAAGAAGAAAGAGAGAGAUGAUUUAAGGCGGGAGAUGAUAUAAACACACACCUUAAUGGGCAAUGACUUCAACUCUACAAAGAAUUGGAUGGAACGAAGAUGAUAGGUCGGUGGAAGGGACUGGACAAAGAUGAUACCUCGGGGAAGCCUGGAACUAUAAAAGAAAUGAAGAAGGGUUGAAGAAGUGUGAACAGUGGAAGGAGAAAAAUCGAAUAAGGGUAGAAGAAUUGUGAACCGUGUAGCCUAGAACUUUUUUGAAAACCCUACUUCCCUAAAACGACGCCAUUUAUGGUUAUUUUUUAAGAAUAAAAUACAUGUAUAAACCGGCUAAUUUAGUCAAAUUUCGCCUGGUUCACCAGUUUUGACCAAAUUCGGUCGGUUUUCACUGGUUUUGAUACUUGGUUAGUAUCAUAACCAUACUGUAUCGGUUAGGGGUUCGGUUCACCGGUUCUUCGAUUGACAUGGACGGUACGGUUUUUACGUUAUGGUUUGUUAAUGAGAUGGGGAAUAAGUAUUUUAACAAUCAAAAAUCAAAAUUAUAAAAGGUAAAUAAUUAAGUUUAUUUCCUAAUAUUUGGUGUAUCUUUCAAUAAUUAUAUUAAAUUCGUUUUCGUACUAACUUAAGUGAAGAAAAAAAUUAAGUAAGAGAAAACUGGUGAUUAUUUAUAAAUGUUAGGGUUGCAAUUUGUUCACCAAGUAAUAAUCAUUAAAGAUAUAAUGUUGUAUUUGUGGAUGAUGGUUGUUAAAGUCUAGGUUAUUUUAUAGAAAUUUUUUAUUGCCUAAACGUUGGGGUGUAAUCAUUUUUAGGCUGAAAUAGACAAAUGGAAUGUCAUAUUACUAUAUGAGAUGCUCAAGUUUUAUUUUCCAUGUUUUUUUUAAAAUUAUCAUAUGAAAGAUUAUAAAAAAUAUUGAUAUAUUUUUGUACGUUUUAUAUUGACAAUGCUUUUUUAUUUGGGUUAUUCUAGAUAGAAGGUGUUUGUCUAAUAUUGUAAAGCCUCAUUAGAUCCUCAAGAUGACUAAAACGUCAAUGGUUCGAUUUAUGUAAGCGACAUUUGUUGGCAGGGGCAGUCAUACACCCCAAAAGAGAUUAGUUUCUUACCCAAGGGUGAAGGGAUACCGUUUUUUGUACCCAAAAAAAUAAACAUUGUCUUGUGGACAUCUUACUCUUAUUUAUAAAUGUAUAAUAUAUAAUUACAUUUUCAGUUCUUCCAUAUCAUAAAUAUUUCAUAAAACAAUUCAUAUCAACAUAAUUAUUUCUUAAAUUCUUUUGCUUAAUAUUUUUUACCAUUGUGAUCUAGUGUUAAUCUUUUAUAAUUUUUCAAAUUUAUUUAAUAAAUGCAUAGACACAUUUUCUUAAUAUAUAUGAUAGUGAAUUAAAAAAUCAAAUAAAAUUAAAUAAAACCUUUAGAUGAUAAUAUGAGAUAUUAACUAUGAUACUUCUACACAAGAAACUGAAAAAAGCUCAAGGGCUUAUGAUCUGAGUUAUUGUCUUGGAUUCAUUUUGAGAAUUAAAAUAAUUUAGUUGAGAAUUGUGUGAAACUCUUAUUUUUUAAGUGAGAAGUAAAUGCAAUAUCAAUGAAGGAGUGCAAUAAAAUAAAAGAGAAGAAGAUAAAAUAAUUUAUUAAUAGGGUUCUGAUCAAUUUUGUAUACGUGCCUAGAAGCGUACAGUAGUUAUCAAUAUGUAUUUUUAGAGAAUAAGAAUUAUAAGUUCUAACAAAUUCAUGGGUAUAAAACUCAUAUGGUGUUUCUAAUUUGUGCAAGUUAUAAUAAGUAUCUUGAGCCUAAUAUUUAACAUUGUUUUUCUCAUUCUUCCAAUACUAGGCAAUGUUUUACUUAUUAUAAUAAUAUAUUUCAAGCAAUCUUCACCUUAGUGAAUAUUUUAUUCCUUAAUAAAUAUACGCAACAAUCACCACCUUAGUGAAUAUCCAACUCCAUAUUACGCAAUGACUAACUCUUUUUAUGAGCUCCUCCAUUGGACUUCUUCCACAUGUGAGAAUGCUCAUCUUCAACAUAAGUCGAGUAUCCUUUAUGAUAUUACCAAGAUUUAAGUUGUCCCAACUCAAAUUUUGAUGGAGAACCAAUUUCACGACUUCGGAGUAUGGGGAAAUAGAUUCCUUUUCUACAAAAUGAUUUGGAGUUGUCACUACAUUUUUUUUAUCAGAAUAUAAAUUUUUUCUUUAUACCCAAAUAGAAAACAAAUAUGAUUAUUGAACUAAAGUUCAAAGCUUGGGAGUCAAUUACAGGUCGGGAAAGGUAUUCACACCUCAUCUGAUCGUAUUAAAACAAUACCCACGCUAACUAGAUGGAUCCUUAUGCCCUCGAUUUAUUUUUUAAAAUAUUAAUUACUAAAGAAAAGUAGUAUUUUUUUUUUACCUACGAAGAGCUUAUUUGCUUUAAUGCAUCCUCAUGUUGUAAUAUGAAAAUCAAGACAACAUAGUUCAUGGCUGAAAAUUGAUCAAUGGAUUUGUAUAAAUUUUAUUAAAGAACUAAUAUAAAAUUAAAGGAGGUCAAUAGCAUAAGAGAUUGUAUUAGUUGUGAACCGACAUCUCAAUUUGAGAGGUAACAUAGAUAGUAUUGAUAACCGCAAUUGUUUCUCUACAUAUAUAAGAAAUUAAGAUACCACAUGAAUAUCAAACUCAUUAUUAGAUUCCAAAAACGGUUUAUCGAUUUUCAUAUAAAAAACUCACAACCACACAAAUUUCUUAUCAUAACAAUGGUGAUUUUAAGUUGUUUUACUAUAUACUAUAUAUUUCCAUUAACAAUAUACAAAUCCUCAUUCCAUUUUCCAUUAUAUAAUUAACAUAACUAAGUUAAUUAACAUGGUCAAGUUCCUUAUGCAUACUCAAGUCCUUGCAGCUUUCUUCGCUGUCAUUCUACUUCUAGCACAUAUUGAGAUGUGUCCUAUAUUAAGUAUUAAUAUAGAAGCAUAAAUCAAACCCAAAACCAUGAAUAGUUGGUUAUCUCAGAAUAAUUGUUUAACAUCAGCAUCAAGGUAUGACACACCGACAUGGUGGUUGUCUUUUAAAUAGGAAAAGUCUCUUGUCUCCGUCUAACAUCAGCAUCAAGCAUGCUACCAAAUUCCAAUAUAGGGAUUUAUAUUUUGAAGAAUAAUUAUUAUCAUUGAUAUAUUAUACCUUAUUUUUUAUUAUAUUUUUUAAUGUCUAGGUAAAAUGAUCGAAGUGGUUGAGAACCUGGAUACUAUCAUUCAUGAAGUAGUAAUCACUGAUGAUGAGGACUAUGUGGAGGAAAUAGAUGAGAGUGAAAGUGAGAGUGAGGAAGUGAAUGAAAGUGAAGGUUUGGAUAGUGUAAAUGACAACGAUGGAUUUAAUAACUAUGAUGAAAAACUAGAUUUUUGUGUGGGGGUUCAUUCAGAUGAUGAUUUAGUUGAAAUUUAUGUUGAGAGAAAGGUGGUUGGAGAACAAUUUAAACUCCAAUCUAAUGGUAAGGUGAAACUUCAAAUCAAUAUGUUACUAUUGUUAGAGAAACUUCAAACCAAUAUGUUCAUAAACGACUUACCGGCUUGAGAUACUAUUGUUAGAGAAACAAAUCCUGGGAGUAAAGUGACGAUGGAGUUUGCAAGGGUCACAAUUGAUAGGAACCCACAAUUUAAACGAUUAUUUGUAUGUCUUGGUGCAAGGAAAAAAAGAUUUGUUAGAGGUUGUAAGCCUUGGUUUAGAAUUGAUGGAUGCCAUUUAAAAGGUCCUUAUGGAGGAAUUUUACUUGUUACAGUUGCCCUUGAUGGAAAUAAGGGUAUAUUUUUUAUUGCAAUUGUUGUGGUAGAGGUGGAGUGUAAGGAUUCAUGGAGGUUUUUUCUAACCUUAUUAACUGAAACUUUGCACACUCUACCAAAAUGGAAGGAGGAUAAACUAACCAUUAUGUCAUAUACACAAAAGGUUAGUGUGUUUAAAUUAUAUAUCUCCCUAUAGUGAAUAGAUAAUGUCUCUCUAAUUAUUGCUAUUCUACUUAAUUUUUGUAUAAAAAGAACAUGUUGUGAGAAAUGAAGUAAUUCAGGAUAGGAUGUUAUAUGUUUUUUUUUAUAUUUUGGUUUAAGUUAGAGAUAUUAAAUGAUUCUUUAUUUGAAUUCCAGUGCUUAAAAGAUGCAGUUAGUGAGAUAUUUCCAAAUGCAGAACAUAGGUAAAUGAUUAAUUAUAAUCUUGUAUUGUUAAUAUUUUAAAAUACUUUAUUAAUCACUACUUGUUUUUGUUAAUAGGUUUUGUUGCAACCACUUGUUGAAUAACUUCAAGCUUCGAUUCAGGUCUUUAAUACUAACAACAGAGUUUUGGGCGGUUGCAAUGGCUUAAAAUGAAACCAUGUUUAAUAAAGCUAUUACUACUAUGAGAAAAAUCAACAAUGAUGAUGUAGAAUGGUUGCUAGAUUCUGAUAGGCCUAAAAUUAUGUGGGCAAGGCAUACAAUUGAUCCAAUCUGUAAAAGUGAUCAUGUGACCAACAUUGUGUGUGAAGUGUUUAAUGCAUGGAUUGUAGAUGAUAGAAAAAAGACUAUGUUGUCUAUGAUGGAGUCUAUUGUGUGUAGAUUAAUGGGAACAUUUGAAAGAAGGUUUGCAAAGAGUUGUGGUUUUGAGCACAACAUAACUCCUAACAUUCGGAAGGUUUUAAACACUAACAUGCAAGAUGGGAGGUUCUGUACAAUGACUUAGUUUACUUAGUUUGCCAUGUUUUACUUCUAUGUAUCUACUUAGUGUUUACCAUGGAGUGCUGGUUAUAUAGUUAUGGAACAUUUAAUUUCUAUAUGUGUAUGUUAAUUUUACAUGCUUAGUUAGUGUAUAUAAUGAUGCGGUAAUUAUUAAUAUUUUUUUAUUGUUCGUUUUUAUUUUAUUAUUUCAAGCAAAUGAUGAUGCAAGUAUAUCUGAUAUACCUUUGAGUGCAAGAGAAUCAUAUGGUGCCAACAACAUUUAGGAUAUUUUUUAUGUAUUUUGUUUUUAAAAUUUCAUAUGAGACUACUUUUAGUUUUUUUUUCUCCAGAUUUUAUGGUGUAUUUGGAUUUAUAAUGAAACAUGAACCGUAACUCUUUCAACUUUGUUAUGUUAUUUUAGUUAUUUGCAAUGAAAUUUUAUUAUUGCUAACAACAUUUGGAUUUAGUAUUGUAAGUUUAAAUAAUUAUUAUAAAUUAAUGAGAUUAAAGUUAUAAAAAUUAUGAAAUGAAAUUGAGGUUAAAAUCCUCUAGAAACAUAUAAUAGUUACCUUCCUGCAGGUUUCCAUAUAUAAUUUCGAGUAGUGAAGAUUGAAAAUCUCCACAAUUAAACGAUCUUAAAUAAUGAAGGUUUAAAGCCUUCAUGCUAAACACUACAAAAAUCACCUCAAAUAGUGGAGGUUAAAAAACUCCUCAAAUCGUGGAUGUUAAACUAAUGAAUGAUGAUUCAUUCCUAAAUAAAUACAUUUAAUACAAAUAUUGAUAAUAAAUGAAUAAAUAUAUUGAAAGAAUAAACUAAUAAAUACGAUGUUACUAUUAAAGACAUAUUACUAAUAUGUUAUUAUCUAGAAAACUAAUUAAUAUAUAUUACACAUAAUUUUCAUUAAUUUCUUAAAUAUAGGUAAUGGAUAGAAUAUAAAAAUAGUCAUAAUAAAUACUAAAUAGAUUUUGAUGAAAAAGAAAGGUUUGAGUUAGGUUUAUUUUAUAAAAUAAAUUAUGAAAAAAAUUUUUUUAGGAGGUUGAAUAAGUUAAAUGAUAGAAAGGUUUUUUAAUUAAAAAAAAUAAAUAAGAUACUACAUUGGUUGUUAAUUGAUGUUGCAAUGCAACUUUCAGUCAAUCAUCGGUUAUAUGACAGGUUUGGAUCCACCACUAUAUUUUUGCGGUCAAAAUAAAGAAAACAUUCUUUAAACCCACCUUUAAGGAAUAUGUUGUCUCACAUGAUAGGAUUUUGCUCCUACGUCUCCCUCUCAACAAUAGAGAAUCAAGACUACCUAGUUCUUUAGUAGAAAAUACUUUGUUGGUUGAUUUUAUAUUAUUUCUGAAUAGGAGAAGAUGUUUUAAUUUUAAUAUGGUGUCCAUACUUAAAUGACUAAAUUACAACCAUAAUGUAUGAUAUCGCAUUUCAUAUUAAGGAGGUAAAGCUUAACCAAAAUCAAUAUUUUUUAAUGUUUAAAGGUUUUUUAGAAAGGUGAUACACAAAGGAAGAGAUUAGCUGCAAAAAAAUUAAACGAUCCCAUUAGGAUUCUCUAGAACUUUUAUGUUACUCUCUCUUUUUUGGAAUAUUUUGAUGUGUUUUCCGGUUUUUUCACUUUGUCAUGAAUGCAAUACCUCUAUUUAUUGGAUGGAUUUCACAUAUGCAUAAAAUAAAAGUGAAUCACUUUCAUUAAUGCAUCGAAUCAAUUAAAACAUUUUAUUGGGUGUAAGAUUGUUUCUGAGAUAUCUAGAAAUAUCUCUUAAUAACUUUAUAAAGUCAUAGAAUAUUAUGGUGACACUCAUAUUAAUUCGGCUUUAAAAUUAAAAGUGUCCCAAAUGCUCUAUUUUGGGUAGAAAUUUCAUAACAAGUUCAAAAGGAAAUCACAAAUGUUCUUUUAUAAAAUGGGAUCUUUCCAUUAAUAGAUUAAUAAAUUCAUUAAGUCACUUAAAACCCUUUUUGAUUUUAUUUUAUAAAUAAAAUUAAAAUUGGUGAGAGAAAUUAAUUUGAAAUAAUAUCCUUGUGAAAAAAACUAAAAAUUGUAUCCAAAAAAUCUUGAAAUAGUAUCCCACCAUUAUUGAGUCAAAUAAGUGAUCUUUAAAUACCAUUUUUUAUUGUAAAGGAAAUCAAAAUGUUGGGAGGGAAGUUGACUUAGAUGUUGUAUCUAGUCAAUUUAUUCACAUUAAGUCAUUCAAACCCGUUUUUUAUAUGAGUGUAAAAUAUGAAUUUAUCCUCUUUACUUGUUGCUUACCAUAAAAGCGGGCAAAUUGAAGUUUGAAAGAUAUCAUGUCAGGUAACUAGUAAGGAAAUGAACACUAAUUUUGUCAAGGUUAAAAGAACUUACAUAUUCAAACUUCAGAUGCCUCGUAGUGAGGUUGAAACUAGUCAACGAUGCAGACUGAAAUACAGUAACCGUUAGUUUUAUGUAGUAGUUCGGGAAGCUUCUGGAAUAGAAAUCAUCAAUUUGGUGCGGCAGUUCUAGACUCUGCUGAAAGGGAAACCAUCAAUUUGGUGACAUAGUCUGAGAAUCUUCUGAAAAAUGAAACAAUCGAUUUGGUGAAGGAGUUUGAGAUUAUGUUGAAAGGGAAACCACCGAUUUGAUGAAGUAGUUUGAGAAUCUACUUAAAGGGAAACCAUCGAUUUGGUGAAGCAAUUAGAGAAUCUUCUAAAAGGGAAACCAUUGACUUGGUGAAGUUCAUCGAGAAUCUGCAGAAAUGGAAACCAUCAGUUUGGUUAAGUAGUACGAGAAUCUGCUAAAAGGGAAACAAUCGAUUUUGUGAAGCAUUUUGAGAAUAUUCUGAAAGGGUAACCAUGUAUUUGGUGAAGUAGUUUGAGAAUCUGUUGAAAAUGAACCAUCAAUUUGGUGAAGCAUUUUGAGAAUCUGUUGAAAUUAUAACUAUUGAUUUGGAGAAGCAGAUCGAUAAUCUAUUGAAAGGGAAACCAUCGAUCUAGUGAAGCAUAUCAAGAAUAUGCUAAAAGGGAAAGCAUUGAUUUUGUGAAGCAGAUCGAGAAUCUGGUGAAAGGGAAUCAUCAAUUUAGUGAACUGGUUCGAGAAUCUAGGAUAGAGAAACUAUCGAUUUGCUGAAAAAAAUUGAGAAUAUGGUGAAAGGGAAACCAACAGUUUGAUGAAGUAGUUUGAGAAUCUGCUGAAAAGGAAAUCGCUGAUUCGAAGAGUCAGAUCAGGAAUCUAUUGAAAUAAGGCUUACGGGCAUCUCAACAUCAGAGUGUGAACAUGAUGAUAAACGUACUUGAGAAAGGGAUGGCCCCACAUUGUCUAGGCCAAUUAUAUAUGUAGUUGGGAUGUGAAGAUGCAUGUAUUGAUGUUUGAUUAUUUGUGGAUAUGAAAUGACUUGAAUAUAAAUUUUCUGCUAUAUUUUGUAUGAGAUGAGUAUACAAUAAAGGGAAAGACUCGUACACAAAUAUUCUAAUGUAUCACUCUUGAUUUAUUUUUUCUUGGGAUGGAAUUCAUAAACCUUUGUGGAUUUGACUAAAGCAUCAAUUUAUGAUUGUUUUUAUUAGCAUGAUUGAAUGACAACUUGUCUUUCAUAAAAUUGCUUUAGUUUGCUUGAUGACACAUUUCCAUUAAGGUAAUUCAUACAAUGUGCCCUAGUGCCAUCUUGAAUGACUAAACUCAUAUAUAUUGCUCUAGCGUAGGUUGGCUGAGAGUUUCUUUCAAAUGUGUUUGAAUAAAAAAUUUAUCAUUGUGCCUAUUCUGAACUUUUGACUUCAACUUGGAGGCCAUUAUUCAGAUUCUCCAUAAAGAUGCCCCAUUUUGGGAAAUUAAGGAUAAGGGGUAGUAAGCCUUCACAUUGAGGUGCACAUUUAAUUUUCCUUAACUUUUAUCAAGAAUACCUAGUGUAUGAGCUUGUCGAGAAUUUUCUCAUUUAUUAUCAUCCUCAACCACCUUUUCAUUUUUUGACUUAUAAUCACUCUCCUUUUCCUAGGUUGCUCAUGUGGGUUGUCAACCUAGCACACUUUUUUUGUUUUUUGUUCUUUGAUUUUUACUUUUUACUUUAUUUAACACCGUCGACUUGGUGGCCUCAUUUGAUAGUAAGUAGAAGUCUUGUGUGGGUCAUUGUUGGAGUUGUUCUUCACAGUCAUAACAUAGUAUCAUUCACUUCUUGGUUGAUAGAUUAUCCAUUUUCUAUUAUUGGCAUGACUUAUAAGGCCAUGGGAAGCAACUCCGUACUGCCUCGUUUUUUGGCUUCUUGUAACUUUUCACUAGAAAAAUGGGAACACCCCAAAAAUAUGGCCCAACAUGGAUACAAGGAUUUAUCCUUCUAUUCAAAUUGUCCUGAAAUGAAAAAUUUGGAAGGACUUAGACAAUGAAUCAUCUCAAAAUAUGCCCUAGUUUGAAAGGUUUCCAUGUUUCUUUUACUUUAGAAGUCUUUAUUGUAUGCACAACUCUUUAAGAAUAAAUAUUAAAACAAUGAUCAUGCAAACUUGACAAGUGUUUGGAUUAUGCGUGGUGAUACGAUAAUGAUUAUAAAAUUUAAUUUUUGUUUAAGCUUUCUUAUAUGUAUUGUUCAAUUUGUAUGUGGUUGCGAGUUUUGAUAUGUUUAUGAUGAAUAUAAAACGGAACUUGUGUUUGGGCUUUGAAUUUUGUUGAUGAUGGUGAUGGUGAUGAUGAGAGAAUGGAAUGUUAAUCAUAUGCAUUAAGAUGAGAUUGUUAGAAAUUCAUAAUUUCUAAUUAAGGUGAACAUCAUAUAAUUAAUACAAUUAUAUUGGCUAUUUAUUUUGGUAUUCCAAAACAAGUGAUCUAAUUACUCACAACCUAUAAGACUUCUAAAACUGAUAAUGUAUAUGGCUUAAUGAGUGGAUACUGAAACGGUUGGCCUAUAUGUGAUAAUGUGAACCCUAUAAGUUAACGUAUAAGGAACGAUUAUGAUCUCCAAUGCACCAAAUCACAAAUAGUUUUCACCUCUCCCCAUCAGAGAGAAAAUGAAGGUCCCAAAAAAAAUUAAUGAUUUGGUUGAGGAAGCCCAUCAUACCAAAACUCUAUGAAAAUGUAUAUCAAAAAAGUAGAUUAGAGAACAUGGAUUUGGGUAUGACUUUGUAUCAUAGUUCUAUAUUAUGUGUGAGAAUCAUGAGAUUCAAGGUCCUAGGAUUGGUAUUUCACCAAUCAUUAGGAAAUAUAUGACAAGUGGUAUCAGAUCUUUAGGUUCUGAAUUUGUUAAUCAUAAAAGAUAUUAAAUCCGAAGGUUUUAAUUCCAAGAUCAUAAUUUAUUUUAUAAUGGACCUAUAUUGUUUUCCUUUUCUGUGGUAAUUAUUUUUGAAAUAAUUGGUGCAAUUGUUGUCAAAGUAACCUUUAUGGUGGAAAUUGAUAAAUAAUACAUAGAUGAGUAUGAGAUUAUUUAUGAGAAUUGUGUUUUGUCAAGUAAUAACAUACAUGUGAUGAUAAAUAAGUAACAAUUAUAAAGUUUUUUUCUUGUGAAUAAUAGUCGGUCCAAAGAAAGACUAUUGUUUGACAAAACUAAUUGUUAAUAUUUGAUCAUUACGUUUAGAGUACAACUUACAUAUUAUUUUCUCUGUCCAAAGACUAGAAAUUGAUGUUGUGCUAGGUAUCUUGUGAUGAGUCUAUUAUGUGAACAUGUCUUGUUUUAUAUGUAUUACCUGAUUUGUUUCUUUAAAUGGUUGCAACACUUACGGUUUGUUGUAUUAGUUGGUAGUUGAUUGCAUUAUUAAGGGGUUGCUAUUGUUGAAACACUAUUUCCAUUUGAACAUUGUGUCGUACUAUGUUUAGUCAUGUAUAAAAUGGUAAUAUAUUUUUAAUGGAAAAUUAAAAAGAACCAUCACUGGAAUUUGAAACGCAGAUCUUGGUGAUGGAAAUUAUGCAAUGCUACCAAUAGGCUAUAGUGUAUAUAUUAUAUAUAUGUGGAUAUAAAUAAUUCAUAUUUUGGAUUAAGUGAUGAAUCAAACUCAACUAAAUGGUUUUAAUGAAAUUGUUUGACAUUUUAAGUGAACAUAUUAAAUAAGAAUUCGCCAAAGUGACAUAUUUUCUAUGAAUUGUUCAUAAAUGUCAAAUACUAGUGUGAAUAAGUAUCUAUGCGAGUAUUAAUUGGCUCAAAUGAAGAUUAUUAUUUGGUCGAAUUAUAUACAUACAUAUGAUGGUAAACAUGUGACUAUUUUAAGGUUGAAAAUGGGACUGAUAAAUUAGUCUAGAGAAAGAUUUAUUAUUUUACAUGCAUUAUGAAUAAUGUUUGACCCUUACAAAAAUAUAUCAUUAGUGAUUGAUAUGAAAUAUCAAGCCAAAUGUAUGUUUGCAUUUUAUGUGAAUAGUGAUCGGCCCUAAGGAAUAUUAUUAUUUGGCCCAAAUUACAAACAUACUUGUAGUAUUAAUAUGUGAUAAUUAUAUGCCUUUGCAUGUGAAUAGUAAGUCAAUCCAAAGAAUAGCUUAUUGUUUGAUAUGACUGAUUAACAAUGUUUGAUUACUAUAUUGAGUGUACCACUUAUAAGUUAAUAUUUUUAUCCAAAGACUAAAUAUUAAUGUUGUGUUAGGUAACUCAUGAUGUGCCCCACCAUCAUUUGAAUUUAGGUUUUAAAGUUGAAUGUGAGUUUAAUUGCAAGAAUGGUUGCAAGAAUGAUUGCAAUUUGUUUUGUUCUUUUACUAGUGCUACAAAUAGUUUUGUUCAAAUUGAGAAUAUCUCAUUGUUGAACGGGACACACAUUAAGGUCUAUAAGAAAGCCGUGGAAAUUAUUCUCGGCUAUAUGGAUUUAGAUCUGGUACUUCAAGUGGAGAAAUCCAUUUCGACUCUGUAAAUCCUCGAUGAGGUUAAAAUUGAGAAAUUUGGAUGCUCUUAUUGUAUGUGUCUAAUGAUCAUGAAACACUAUAUUCUAGAAGUGUUUCAUAAUUCUAUUUUUGAGGGUCAGAGUGCAAGGAAGUUCCUUCAAGAAAUAGAACCAUACUUUUGCAAAAAUGAGAAGGCGGAGACUAGUAGCUUUUUUGGGUGAAAUCAUCUCCAUGAAGUAUAAAAGCAUAUGGAACAUAAGGAAGUACAUUAUGGAGAUGCCUAAUCUUGCAUCAAAACUCAAGUCACUUAAGUUAGAGCUGGUUGAUGACUUGCUCGUGCACUUGGUUUUGAUCUCGCUUCCUGCACACUUUGGGAUAUUCAAAGUGAGCUAUAACACUCAAAAGGACAAAUGGUGUCUCAAUGAGUUUAUAUAUCAUUGUGUCCAAGAGAAAGAGAGGUUCUAGAGAGAUAAGACUGAAAGUGCUCAAUUGGCUAUGACCACUCAGAAUAAGACAAGAAUGAACAAUACGGAUGUUGUGAAAGGGUUAUUUGUGUUUUUCGUCAGAGAUUGUGGAUUUGUUCCGCAAUACACUAUGCCAGACAAACCUAAAAUAAAAGGUGUUGUUGGCCGACGAAAAGAAACUCUUAAGGAUAUGGUGAGAAUUAUGCUUAGUCAUUCUUCCUCACUAGAGUCUCUUUGGAGGGAAAAAACCGUUAAUAAGACCAAGCUUAAAACAUUGCACAUUUGGGGUUGUUCAGUUGAGGAAGGCCUUAUAGGCCACAGGAAAGGAAACUCGACUCAAGAACAGUUAGAUGUUAUUUUGUUGGCAAUGUUGAGCGCUCUCGGGGCUAUAAAUUUUACGAUCCUACUUCAAGACAUUUUUUUUUUGGACGGGAAAUGCAAGAUUUCUUGAGGAAGUUGAUUUUGGGAAGGAAGAGAACAUAAGGAAUUUUAUCUUUGAGGAAGAACAUGUCACUAGUAGUGAACAAAUUCUUGUGUCUAUUACCAUUCAAGGAACAACUUCGGUAAUAGAAGAUAAUGUUUAGGAUAUUGUUCCUGACAAUAUUCUAGAACAAGACAACAAUGAGGUUCUCUCUCAAGUACUUAAAGAAAAAAUUCAACAACCUCAAGAAGUAGGGGUGCCAUUAAGCAUAUCCACUAGAGAGAGAGGAUGUGCAAUUCCUGAUGAUUAUAUUGUAUUUCUUCAAGAAUAUGAGGAUGACAUCAGGAUAACAUAAGAUGAUUCAUUGAAAAAAUGUCAAGACAUGAAAAGUUCUAACUCUCAAAAGUGGAUCAAUGUCAUGAAGAAUGAGAUGAAGUCUAUGCAUGAUAAUAACGUUUGGGAUAUUGUCGAAUUAACUGAAGUUGCGAAACCUAUUGAUAGGACAAAUUGCAAGUGGACGGUUAUAUCGUCAAGUAAUAAAAUAUCGAUCCCACGAGGACUAGAAAAUACUUUAAUUAUAACAAUUAAUUUAUAUGUAACUCAAAGCAAAAUUAUAAGUGAAUUUAGAAAAAUUGAACAUUUGACAAGAAUAAUUAUGAAAAUAUUAAAAAGGAUUGAAAUCUAAUUUAGGAAGAGUUCCAAGGAUAAGGGUUUACCCCUUUACACUCNNNNNNNNNNNNNNNNNNNNNNNNNNNNNNNNNNNNNNNNNNNNNNNNNNNNNNNNNNNNNNNNNNNNNNNNNNNNNNNNNNNNNNNNNNNNNNNNNNNNUAAAUUACAUAACAACAUAUAGAUUGAUGAAGGGCAUUGCAUGUAAAACUUUCAAGGUAGAUUUUUUUAUUAAUAAUAGUACAUAGGUAAAACUCUAGUUUUAUUAAUAUAUCGUGGCUCACUAUGAGCUCUUACAUGAUAGUAGAUAGCAGCUUAGUAAAGAGUGAUCUAAAUGGAAAAGAUAAGACCCCUUCUUCCACGCCUUCCCUCCUUCUCCCUUUGCUGUUGCUGCUGAGGUUGAGCAUUUGCAAAGUAAGAUUGUUGUUGGUUCUUAAUUAAUCUCUCAACAUCUUCAACAGAACCAGGGAAUGUAAGCUGCUUCACUUCUUUAUCUAAC
rnacentral:lncRNA from 1 species